GUUUUGCGCUUUGCCCCCCAAACAAUUUUUUUUUGCACGUUUUUACCUAAACUCGUUUUUUUGUUGCACGGUACCCUAAAGGUGGUAUUUUCCGGCAAAUGUCACCGGAAUCUCACGCACGUGCCAUUCACGUGGGAUUUGGAGGGGCAAAUUUGUCUUUUUACUUUUAUUCUUGUCCGACUUCAAUUUUUCUCUUCUCUUCCAUUUUGGUCUUCUUCUCCACCUCCCUGGUUUGAAUCAUGGCUGCUUCUUUUCAUCUCCAAAACCCUUUUGUGCACCAAUUUCUAGGCCAAACAAAUUUCAAUUCCCACUAAUCAUAAAUCAUCUCGACAUUUCUCAAACACACACUAAAGGUAUUAUUGACACAGCAAAUGCAACCCCUAAGAAAUCUUGGGGGCAGAGCGCCAUUACAGAGGCCAAAAGUGUUCUUCAAAAGAAUUAAAAAAAAAAACACAAAUCUAAAAAGACAAACCAUCUCCAUUCUCCAAGGAGCUAUUAAGGCUAACGAGUG
rnacentral:lncRNA from 1 species